rnacentral:rRNA from 1 species
GAUGAACGCUGGCGGCGUGCCUAAUACAUGCAAGUCGAGCGAACAGACGAGGAGCUUGCUCCUUUGACGUUAGCGGCGGACGGGUGAGUAACACGUAGGUAACCUACCUAUAAGACUGGGAUAACUGCGGGAAACCGGAGCUAAUACCGGAUAAUAUUUCGAACCGCAUGGUUCGAUAGUGAAAGAUGGCUUUGCUAUGACUGAUAGAUGGACCUGCGCCGUAUUAGCUAGUUGGUAAGGUAACGGCUUACCAAGGCAACGAUAAGUAGCCGACCUGAGAGGGUGAUCGGCCACACUGGAACUGAGCCACGGUCCAGACUCCUACGGGAGGCAGCAGUAGGGAAUCUUCCGCAAUGGGCGAAAGCCUGACGGAGCAACGCCGCGCUAGUGAUGAAGGUCUUCGGAUCGUAAAACUCUGUUAUUAGGGAAGAACAAACGUGUAAGUAACUGUGCACGUCUUGACGGUACCUAAUCAGAAAGCCACGGCUAACUACGUG